CCUACGGUAGGCAGCAGUGAGGAAUAUUGGUCAAUGGACGAGAGUCUGAACCAGCCAAGUAGCGUGAAGGAUGACUGCCCUAUGGGUUGUAAACUUCUUUUAUAUGGGAAUAAAAUGUUCCACGUGUGGGAUUUUGUAUGUACCAUAUGAAUAAGGAUCGGCUAACUCCGUGCCAGCAGCCGCGGUAAUACGGAGUAUCCGAGCGUUAUCCGGAUUUAGUGGGUUUAAAGGGAGCGUAGGUGGAUUGUUAAGUCAGUUGUGAAAGUUUGCGGCUCAACCGUAAAAUUGCAGUUGAAACUGGCAGUCUUGAGUACAGUAGAGGUGGGCGGAAUGCGUGGUGUAGCGGUGAAAUGCAUAGAUAUCACGAGGAACCACGAUUGCGAAGGCAGCCUGUCGGGGUGCGACUGACGCUGAUGCUCGAAAGCGCGGGUAUCGAACAGGAUUAGAUACCCGGGUAGUC
rnacentral:rRNA from 1 species